ACUGGGCGUAAAGAGUUGCGUAGGUGGUUAUGUAAGUGAAUAGUGAAAGCUGGUGGCUCAACCAUACAGACUAUUAUUCAAACUGAUAGACUCGAGAGUAGUAGAGGUAACUGGAAUUUCUUGUGUAGGAGUGGAAUCCGUAGAUAUAAGAAGGAACACCAAUGGCGUAGGCAGGUUACUGGACUAUCUCUGACACUGAGGCACGAAAGCGUGGGGAGCGAACCGGAUUAGAUACCCGGGUAGUCCACGCCGUAAACGAUGGAUACUAGCUGUUGGAGGUAUCGACCCCUUCAGUAGCGAAGCUAACGCGUUAAGUAUCCCGCCUGUGGAGUACGGCCGCAAGGCUAAAACAUAAAGGAAUUGACGGGGACCCGCACAAGCGGUGGAUUAUGUUCUUUAAUUCGAUGAUAACCGAAGAACCUUACCAGGGCUUGACAUCUAGGGAAGGACUACGAAAGUAGUUUGUGCCUUUUUGGAACCCUAUGACAGGUGAUGCAUGGCCGUCGUCAGCUCGUGUCGUGAGAUGUUAGGUUAAGUCCUUCAACGAGCGCAACCCUUAUUGUCUGUUGUAUUUUUCAGGCAAGACUGCCCCGGUAACGGGGA
rnacentral:rRNA from 1 species